UCGAGGAUCUUUAGCAAUGGGCGAAAGCCUGACUAUGCGACGCCGCGUGAGGGAUGAAGGUCUUCGGAUCGUAAACCUCUUUCGAUAGAGAAGAAACCCCCGCUUUAAUACAGCGGGGCUGACGGUAUCCAGAGAAGAAGCCACGGCCAACUCCGUGCCAGCAGCCGCGGUAAUACGGAGGUGGCGAGCGUUACUCGGAUUCAUUGGGUGUAAAGGGCAGGUAGGUGUUCCCGCAAGUCAGGAGUGAAAUCCUAUGGCUUAACCAUAGAACUGCUUUUGAAACUGCGGGAAUUGAGGCUGGAAGAGGAGAGCGGAAUUCCCGGUGUAAGGGUGAAAUCUGUAGAUAUCGGGAGGAACACCAGUGGCGAAAGCGGCUCUCUGGUCUAGCCCUGACGCUGAA
rnacentral:rRNA from 1 species